GGAAUCUUGGACAAUGGGCGAAAGCCUGAUCCAGCGACGCCGCGUGACUGAUGAAGCCUUUCGGGGUGUAAAAGUCUUUCGGCAGGGACAAUAAUGAUGGUACCUGCAGAAGCAGCUGCGGCUAACUACGUGCCAGCAGCCGCGGUAAUACGUAGGCAGCUAGCGUUGUUCGGAAUUACGGGGCGUAAAGAGAGUGUAGGCGGUUUGCCAAGUCCGUUGUGAAAUCUCCCGGCUCAACUGGGAGGGUGCGGCGGAAACUGGCAGGCUAGAGUACGGAAUGGGAGAGUGGAAUUCCUGGUGUAGCGGUGAAAUGCGUAGAUAUCUGGAGGAACACCGGUGGCGAAGGCGGCAUUCUGGACCGAAACUGACGCUGAGGCGCGAAAGCCAGGGGAGCAAAC
rnacentral:rRNA from 1 species